rnacentral:rRNA from 1 species
GACGAACGCUGGCGGCGUGCUUAACACAUGCAAGUCGAGCGGUAAGGCCCUUUCGGGGGUACGACGAGCGGCGAACGGGUGAGUAACACGUGGGUGACCUGCCCUCAGCUCUGGGAUAAGCCUGGGAAACCGGGUCUAAUACUGGAUAUGACUCCAUGACGCAUGUUGUGGGGUGGAAAGCCUUGUGCGGCUGAGGAUGGGCCCGCGGCCUAUCAGCUUGUUGGUGGGGUGAGGCCUACCAAGGCGACGACGGGUAGCCGGCCUGAGAGGGCGACCGGCCACAC